AUCUCACUCAAAUCCUCUUCUCUCUCAGAUUUCUCUGCCUCUCUGCUUUAAUCUAAGGCUUGGCAACCGAUGAACGUUCCUACUAUGAAGAUCUUUCUUCAAAAUUUUCUUCAGGCUAAGAGCCAAUUUUGGUCUCCCUUGCUUGUCAGCUGGGGUUCUGGAUCAAGAAAAUUGGAGGUGGCGGUCAGUGUUUGGCUGAAUCUGUUAUAAUGCUCACAAUACAUUUUUGACUCUGUACGAAGAACUGUGAUGCUUUCUUUAGAUUAUAGGAGGCUUUCUUUGACAGUAUCUGCGUAGUGAUGGGAUGUGUUUCAAUAGUUUUGCGAUUGGGUGAUUGAUUGGAUCUAUUAUGAUACCCAUAGUACGUUUUUGACUCUGUACGAAGAACUAUGAUGCUUUUUCUAGAUCAUAGGAGGACUUCUUUGACAGUACAUAUGUAAUGAUGGGAUGUUGUUUUAAGGGUUAUGUGAUUGGGGUUUAGUUUGGUUUG